UACAUGUGGGGCAAGCGUUGUUCGGAAUUACUGGGCAUAAAGGGUGCGUAGGCGGCUUGUUAAGUCAGGGGGUGAAAUCCCACGGCCCAACCGUGGAACUGCCUUUGAUACUGGCGAGCUUGAGUGCGUGAGGGGUAACCGGAACGAGUAGUGUAGCGGUGAAAUGCGUAGAUAUUACUCGGAAGGCCAAAGGCGAAGGCAGGUUACUGGUACGCAACUGACGCUGAGGCACGAAAGCGUGGGGAGCAAACAGG
rnacentral:rRNA from 1 species